rnacentral:rRNA from 1 species
AUUGAACGCUGGCGGCAGGCCUAACACAUGCAAGUCGAGCGGAUGACAGGAGCUUGCUCCUGGAUUCAGCGGCGGACGGGUGAGUAAUGCCUAGGAAUCUGCCUGGUAGUGGGGGACAACGUUUCGAAAGGAACGCUAAUACCGCAUACGUCCUACGGGAGAAAGCAGGGGACCUUCGGGCCUUGCGCUAUCAGAUGAGCCUAGGUCGGAUUAGCUAGUUGGUGAGGUAAUGGCUCACCAAGGCGACGAUCCGUAACUGGUCUGAGAGGAUGAUCAGUCACACUGGAACUGAGACACGGUCCAGACUCCUACGGGAGGCAGCAGUGGGGAAUAUAGGACAAUGGGCGAAAGCCUGAUCCAGCCAUACCGCGUGUGUGAAGAAGGUCUUCGGAUUGUAAAGCACUUUAAGUUGGGAGGAAGGGUUGUAGAUUAAUACUCUGCAAUUUUGACGUUACCGAUAGAAUAAGCACCGGCUAACUCUGUGCCAGCAGCCGCCGUAAUAC